rnacentral:misc_RNA from 1 species
GUAUUAAUUGCGUGUGAUCGCAAAAGAAAAACAUUCUACACUGUAUCGAGUUUGUGUGAAAACGUGAGCCCCCGAAAGGGGACCCACGCGGUGGUGCACAUAGGGGUGAGAUGGAUGUUUGAGAACGCUCGGGCGUGCACGACAAAAAAAAGCCAGCGACAACCCUCGUACCCCCAUUGUACGAUAAUGAUCCUUCCGCAGGUUCACCUACGGAAA